UACGAGGGGGGCGAGCGUUGUUCGGAAUUAUUGGGCGUAAAGGGCGCGUAGGCGGUGCGGUAAGUCACCUGUGAAAACUCGAGGCUCAACCUCGAGACGCCGAUGGAAACCAUCUAGCUAGAGUCCGGAAGAGGAGAGUGGAAUUCCUGGUGUAGCGGUGAAAUGCGCAGAUAUCAGGAAGAACACCCGUGGCUAAGGCGGCUCUCUAGUACGGUACUGACGCUGAGACGCGAAAGCGUGGGGAGCGAACAGG
rnacentral:rRNA from 1 species